rnacentral:lncRNA from 1 species
ACAGGACACUGCCCCUAGAGGCGUUGCAGCUGUGGCUGCCGUGUCACAUCUGUGUCAUUAGGUGGCAGAGAUUAGAGAGGCUAUGUCUACGCUCAGCGUUCUGCCCCGUGAACGUUUGAAUGUUUGAUAGUCUCACACUCCUGUUUUGUGGACAGGCAUCUGUUUUCCUUCGCUGGUAUCUGGGAGAGAGGGUGGGCCCUGUGAGUGGGCUUUCUAACUCUCGCGCUGGGCUAGGCUGGCCUCUAGGGGUCUGAAGGGAUAGUGGGAAGGUGGAGGGUGCCUUCACCAGGAGCAGCCUUCAUGAGUGAGUUUUAAGAACCUGUGAGGAUCGGUCAGGUCAGGUGAGGUACGCGCUGGAUCAUGCCGUACACCGUGUCAGGAUCACGCAGGACAGGACUGGGGAAGGGUUUGCUGGCGUCUCGGUUAAUAGCAGUAACGGCAGCCGCUUGUGUUCUUGAUUCUUUGCCAAGCAUUCUUGUUAUUUAACACGGGAAGGAGGUGACUUCGCCUGUGAUGGACUUCCAGUGUGAGCACUGGCCAGAGUGACCAGGCUGACCAGCACCAGCCCUGAUCCAGAUGCAGAGGCCAGGAUGUGGGCCCAGCCCUGUGCCAGGAGGCUGGCUGGAAUAAAGGGAUGGGCAGGCUGGCAUGGGGGCAGCCGCUGCCCCUGCCUGGGUGUUGCUGUGUAUUCCUGCCGGCCAGGGGCCACUGCCAGGACCACGCCUCCCUUUUCAUAUCCCGAUUCUUAAGUUCUGCUAUUGUGGUAUUCUGGUGGAGAAAAAAGAACCGCGUGGCUGUUUUUGAACUGCCUGGAACCUAAGACCCUGAAUUCUUUUCCCCCCCAAGGGGAAAAUCUAUAUGGAAAACAUUUAUUUUAAAAUACAGGAUGAAGUGAAUUAAAAGAUUUAAAUGCACAUUUCUUUAAGGAUAAUAUUUCUGUGUUGGCAAAAUUUGAGAGUAAAUUGGUCUUGAAUGGAAUGGAUUGUCUUGACUCACACAUUGCGGAGCAGAGCCCGCCCUGAAGAAAGGUGUUGCUGUGGUGGGAUCUUCCCACGAGGGUCCUUGCCUGUUCUCCUAGGGGAUGGUUGCUGGGUGCCCUGGGCUACUGGGGAGAGCGUACGGGGCUGGAGAAGAUGGCCAUUCCUGGGCUGUUUCCUAGGGAAUGAGUUGUACAUCUCAUGGCUGGAUUUUGUAAAAUCAGUUUUUAAAAUACCG